CAGAGUCCUCUCUCUCUGCACCACGUGAGGACACAGCAAGAAGGUCAUUGCCUGAAAGACAGAAAACGGGCUCUCACCAAGAACAAAGCACCUUGACCCUGGACUUCCUAGUCUCCAAAAUUGUGACAACACUUUGAAGUAAUUAGGAUGUUACAACCAUCUGACAGAUGAGGACAUUGAGAAAAAGACAGAGGCCUUUUUGAAGAGAGGAGAAAAGAGCAAAUGUGAAGAAAUCAUGUAUUAGUGAGUAUAUUGUUCUUUGAGAAACUU